UUAUUUCUCUCUUACAAGAUUUUUUAUUGACUGAGUCUCCUUGAAUUCCUUUAAGUCAAAUGUUGGUGUGUUGUGACUCCGCUGCCCUGGUUGGCGUCUGUGAGCGAGUUCUAGUCUGGAACGUGUUUGGGGGAAUAAUCAGUCUGGAGGGAGUGGUUGAGGCUGGGAGUCUGGAUGCAUUUCCCCAAGGGAAGCAGUGUCAGGAGUCAGAGCAGGCAAUCUAGGGGACACUGAUGUUUGGGGGGCAGGAGGACGAGGGUCCCGAAAGGAAUCUGGAAAGCCAUGAGCCUGCAAAGUGACUCGAAGGCCAAAGAAAAGAGUUUGAAGGAAAAGAGAGUGAUGAAAAGUGCCCAUUGCUGUACAAAGAGACACUCCCCUAUCUUAAUUGAGUCAGAUAAGGAGAGAGGGCGUCCUUUAGAUUUCACACUUCUCCAAAGUGUCUUUGCUCGUCCCCAGCGGAGAUGCACGGCGGGCGUGGAGAUCAGACUGCAGGGCCGGGAGGUGGCCACGGGAGAUGCACUUUUUCAAUAAGGUCGCUGUGAAGAGUUGGGGGAGGCGGUGGGAGUUUACCAGAGAGAGGGGUGAGGGCUAAGAGAAUGCUUUAAAAUUAAGCAGAGUGGAAAUUCUUGAGGCAGUUGGUAUGCUGAAGAGCAGAGGCAGUUAAAAGGCGAGAUGAGAGAUAAUAAGGUCCCGGAGGAUUGGGAGGGAAUGCUCUGAAGGCCUGAUCCAGUAUUUCACCUUGGACGAGGGGAGGGCAAGGAAGAGAAAAAGCAAACUUUCUGCAAGACCGGAGUGUGUCUUCUUUGUGUUCUUGCCCCUGAGCGGCUUGGUGCCUGGUACACUGCGAGGCCUUUGAGAGGAGGGUGGGGAGACACAGAUAACACCUCGCUGUGGGUGGGGUCGAGAGUUGAGAGUUUGUUUUCAAAGAGACUUGCUGCAAAGAGGAGGAGGUGGGACCAUCUGUUGAAGAUGCCAGAGGAAGUGGUGGGAUGCGGAGAGGGAGGUGGAGGUUGGGAGGACCCACUGGAGGAGGCGGAAGAGGAGGAGGAGAAGCAGCUGUGUGGCUGGGAGGCCCGCCGAGGUCGGGGCCAUGAAGUUAAAAGACAAAUCUAUGGGAUUGGGGGGUCUUCUCCAGCAUCAGGCAGCUGCCCCUGGGUAGGAACCAAGACGGCUGGGCGGAUCAGGAUAUAAAGAAACUGAGGCACAGAGAAGUUAUGUCACCUGCCUUUGGUCACGCAGUAAGGGGCAGAACUGGAAUUCAAAACUGGGAAGUCUGGCCUGUGAGUCCACGACUGAUGUAAAGCCUGGCGUGAAGCAUUGCUUGUGGUUCGUUCAUUCAUUCGAUCAAUAACCAAUUCACUUAUUAUCUACUACCUGCUGUUUCCUAUGCAAGACUUUGGAGCUAGAGUGGGGACCAAAAGCAGACAUUGCCUUCAUGAAACUUAUAGAUGGGAGAGAUAGAUAUUAACUGAAAAAACCCAAAUAAUCAUAAAAUUGCAAUAUAAGGAGGAAGUACAAGAUACCACGAAAGCUCACAGAAGGAGAAUCUGACCUAGAUGGGAAAGCUUCCUUGAGGAGAGGUAGCUUGAGCUGGGAGCUGAAAGAUGAGCAAAGCUUAGCCAGGUAAAUAGCAGCAGAACAUGAGCCUCAAAGGCCCUUUGAUGGGCAGGAGAGUUCAGACUGAGGAAUUCCAGCAGGGUCAGUGUGACAAGCCAGGAAGAGCCUGGUGCCGGAUGAGAUCAAACCAUGCAAGAAGACUUUGUGGACUAUGGAAAGGAGUUUCUUGUUGAUCUCAAGACCAAUAAGAAGGCGAUGGGCGUCUGGUCCUAAAAUCUUCAAUCUGCCUGGCACAGAAGGCUGGACUCGGGCGCCGGGAACGACCUUGGAGACGCGCCCCAAAUAUCCUUCUCAACAAGCCUGGGUCUGAAACAAGACUCUGAGCUCCUUCAUGAGAGGUGCUGUAUCCCACCCAAGUCCGACUUCCCGGCAGCUGGUGCAGUGGCUGACUUACACUGGAGCGCUCCGUACAUGACGGGUCUCGUUCCGAAGUUCCCUGCCGCUUCCAUGAAUGCUGAAUUGGAAAUGUGCAAGAAUUUGCAUCUGUGUCUCGUCCCCUGAAGUCCGUGGCCUGCGUAUCUUAGGAGAGCUGCUCUGAAGAUGGUGUCCCCCAGGGCUGUUGGUACCACCUCUCUGCUAGGUGAUUGGAGCUGGUAUAAAUGAAGCCAAGUGGAGGCAAGCGGAACUGAGGGAUCGGGAGACACCUACAGUCCCAAAGCCAGCAUUCGCAUCCCUGGAUCAAGCUGGGCCUGUAAUGUGAGCUGGGCCAGGCACCAUGGAUAUAAGAGUGAUGAAACACAGACCUUGACCUCUCGGACUUGGAUGAGGAAGAUGGGCUUAAAUAACGACGUUUCCCGGUGGAGGCGCAGAGCUUGGUGGAAGAGGUGGUUUCUUGGUUCAACCUCUUCAGAAGAUGGAGGGGAGACCUCCUCCAACUGGUGAAAAUGGUGCCAUUGGCAUCGAAGGCAAGGAAUGAGUUACUGACUGGAUGGACCCCGUUCUGGGUUUGCACCAAUGGUCACCACUUGGAAAUGACAGGAACCUGACAAAUAUAGAGCAGUCUUCAUGUAGCCAAAGGAACCAACCAUGCUUCUGGGAGGGUGCACCGUGACCCCAGUGGUCAUGAAAUGGGAGGAGGUUGGUGUGUUUGAGGAACGAGGCCGGUUUAGCUGGAGCAGCGAGAGAAGAGUGGAGUCCGACAAGCUUGGAGGGGUCGGCUGCAGCCAGGUCCAUCUGUGCCUCUGUCUGCCUGUCUCUAUUUCUCCAUCCAUCCCUUUAUUUAUAUACUUUCCCUGUGAAAAAUCAUUCGGCACAACUUGUAAAAACACGCAUAACAGGAUUACACAAAUAAACGAGAGAAGAGGGGGCAACUAGAAAAAUAAAAUAAAGCUGGGACAUUAGCAUGCAAAAUGCAUGUCUUGACCCAUACACUUGUGAGAAGGGGUCUGCAAAUCUAGUUCAGAGCUUCCUAGCAGUCACCACAAAGAGAGACAAGUGAUGAGUUAGAUGGUUCAUGGUGUCCAUGAGGCAAAAGCAAACUCUUUUCUUAGAAGAAAUGCUUGACUGUAUGCUGAGAGUUGAGAAAAACUUCACGGAGACUGUGGUGGUUUCGUGUGGUGUUGGCUUGGCUGAGCUGGACCUUCGAUUCCCAGAGUCCCCUUCCCUGUGUGGCUUUGGGAAGAACCGACUGAAAGAGAGAGAAAGUGGUGCGUGAUUUAGAAGGCGAAGUGAGCCAGCAGCCUUUGCUCUCUGUGGGUCGGCGGAGACGGCCAGCGUGAGGGACAGACACGGAGCGACUGGCAGUUUCCAGCUGAUGCUUGCUCUCCUCCACUCGGCUUCUGGCUCUUCUGCCGUCCAGCCGGCCAUGCCCACAAGAGCAGGGGCGGGCCCAGCGCCAGGUGCAGGCAGCAGCCUUCUAAGAUUCUCCGCCAGCUCGUCUUCACGCCUGCCGGGAGCAGCUGUGUGCCUGGUUUCUAGAGGGCCCUGGAAGCCCCGACUGUCCACCUAUGCCAAAGCUUCAGGAGGGCUGGUUAGUGACACUUCUAAGAUCUUUCACCACUCACCCCACCCGUGCGAUGUGUGUGCCCUGCAAUAAAUCCUUAGUCCACGACACUCAUCGUGGCUCUGCUUCCUGAUCAAACGCUGACUGAGACGGAGUCUUAUAAGGGGACCUGGUAAGACGCAAGGGAAGUCAUCCCCGCAAAUAUCCCACAGACAGUAUGGUAGCUGGGAAUCUCGCUCAGAGAGCUGAGGACGUAACUGGACCUGGGUUGGCUCCUGGGAUGAGGGGCCGUCGGGGGGGAGGACUGGUGGGGCUCACUGGCGGCUCCCAGUCCUCACGUGCGCCCCCAGGACUGCCAGGUCCCCCCUCAGAACCCACCAGCCACAGGAGGCCACUGGGCGCUUAAAAGGUACCUGUUGUAACUAGGAAACUGAUUUUUAAGUUUUAAUUAAUGAAAAUGAAAAUGAAAAAACCGGUAACUCGUGUCUCUUAUUGGAAAACCUUUAAGUACGGUUCGGAACGACUUGAGUAUGUGAGCCUACAUUUCCAACUUUAGAUUUUACGAAACCUAAAUACAUAGCCACUAUUUCCUACGAAAAUUUGCAGUUCAAAUCGAGAUAGGCUGUGAGCAUAAAAAAUAGACUGCGUUUUGAAGAUGUAGGAUGAAAAAAGGUCAUAAAAUGCUUCAUUAAUAAUUUUUUAAUGUAAAUCAUAUGUUGAAAUAAUAAUAUUAUGGAUUAAAUAAAAUAUAUUAUUAAAAUA